GACGAAGGGGGCUAGCGUUGUUCGGAAUUACUGGGCGUAAAGCGCGUGUAGGCGGUUGCCAAAGUCGGGUGUGAAAGCCUUGAGCUCAACUCAAGAAUUGCACUCGAUACUUGAUGACUAGAGGACCGGAGAGGAUAGUGGAAUUCCCAGUGUAGUGGUGAAAUACGUAGAGAUUGGGAAGAACACCAGUGGCGAAGGCGGCUAUCUGGACGGUUUCUGACGCUAAGGCACGAAGGCCAGGGGAGCAAACGGG
rnacentral:rRNA from 1 species